GAAAGAGGAGGAUCGGCAUCAGGAGACACCACCACCGUGCACCUAUAAAAACCACCACACCACAGAAUGAUAGCAGCAACAAACAAGCUAGGUGUUGAUUAUUGAAGCUAUGAAGAAAGAAAAGGAAGCUUCAUCUUUUGGUCUGACUCUGUGAAGCAUACCAAAUCAAGCUCUAUAGCUUCACUUUUCGAUACCAAAUAUCAUGAUCUGUUCCAUUUCUUCAGCAACCAAUCAAAUAGACCAAGAAAAUUAACCAUGUUUUGCUUCUCCUCACUAUGCCUUACAGUACCCGACCUAGCACCAACAAAAACCAGUCUUGGUCACAUAGAUCCUUCUGCAAAACUUAUCCAUAACAGGCAACCAAAUUACCGGACUGAAGAUACGUCAAGAGACUGCUCAUCGUCGGGUUUGCUCUGCCGCUCACGAUUGCGGCCGCCACCACCGCCGCCGUAACGGGAGGCAACGAUAAUGGAGGAGCCAAUGAACGUCCUGGAGCUGGGAUAGUACACUAGGGACUCUUGCGUUGAAAUGUAGAACCUGAUGCCGAGUAGCUUGGAAUCCAGAGAAGAAAAGAGACUGGUAGAAUUUCCGGUCGUCCGUACAAGCGUGAACAGAAAGGUCCAGCUCUGGCGGUGGAGCUAGGACAGUGAAAUUGACGGAUGAGCUAGCGAUUUUGCUUACCGAGACGGUGCUGAAAAAAAG
rnacentral:lncRNA from 1 species